AGCCUUUAGCUUAACAAGUAUUAAAGGUCCAGCCUGCCCAGUGACCCGUUUAACGGCCGCGGUAUCCUAACCGUGCAAAGGUAGCAUAAUCACUUGUCCCCUAAAUAGGGACUAGUAUGAACGGCUAAAUGAGAAUCACACUGUCUCUUGUAGUUAACCUAUGAAACUGAUCUUGUAGUCCAAAAGCUACAAUAAAAACACCAGACGAGAAGACCCUGUGGAGCUUCAAAACCAAAAUCAAACUAAUGACCCUUUGGUUUUUAGUUGGGGCAACUUCGGAACAUAAAUUAACCUCCGACAAAAUAAGUUAAGACAAACAAGUCAAAACAAUUUUCCUGACCCAAUGGUCCUACCAAGACUAUUUGAACAAUGAACCAAGUUACCCCAGGGAUAACAGCGCUAUCCCCUUUUAGAGUCCCUAUCGACAAGGGGGCUUACGACCUCGAUGUUGGAUCAGGACACCCCAAUAAUGCAGCCGUUAUUAAAGGUUCGUUUGUUCAACGAUUAAAGUCCU
rnacentral:rRNA from 1 species